rnacentral:rRNA from 1 species
UACGAAGGGGGCUAGCGUUGCUCGGAAUUACUGGGCGUAAAGCGUGCGCAGGCGGUUUUGUAAGUCAGAUGUGAAAGCCCCGGGCUCAACCUGGGAACUGCGUUUGAAACUACAAGGCUAGAGUGUAGCAGAGGGGGGUAGAAUUCCACGUGUAGCAGUGAAAUGCGUAGAGAUGUGGAGGAAUACCAAUGGCGAAGGCAGCCCCCUGGGUUAACACUGACGCUCAUGCACGAAAGCGUGGGGAGCAAACAGG